rnacentral:rRNA from 1 species
CGCAUCUGUGCAUGCAGCAUAUCAAUAAGCGGAGGAAAAGAAACUAACAAGGAUUCCCCUAGUAACGGCGAGUGAAGCGGGAAGAGCUCAAAUUUGAAAUCUUAAAGGGUUUCCCUUUACGAAUUGUAGUUUAAAGAAGUGUUUUCUGUUGAGGUUUUGGUAAAAGUUCUUUGGAAUAGGACAUCAUAGAGGGUGAGAAUCCCGUAUUUGACCUUUACUUUCAACUUUGUGAUACACUUUCAAAGAGUCGGAUUGUUUGGGAAUGCAGUCCAAGAUGGGUGGUAAAUUUCAUCUAAAGCUAAAUAUUGGCGAGAGACCGAUAGCGAACAAGUACCGUGAGGGAAAGAUGAAAAGAACUUUGAAAAGAGAGUUAAACAGUACGUGAAAUUGUCAAAAGGGAAGCGUUUGACACCAGUGUUGUUUUUCUGAAAAUCAAUUAAAGAACUGUUUAUGCUAAGCUGUUUAGACUUUAUCAGCUAUCUGUUUAGUUUUGAGCUUUUCUUUAAUGCACUUUUCAGUUAACAAGUCAACAUCAAUUUCUUUUGCUGUAAAAAAGCUCGAGGAAGGUGGCUUGAGAUUCGUCUUAAGUGUUUAUAGCCUCUUGCCUAUGCAGUCGGAGAGAUUGAGGUCUGCAGCGUAGAUCCUUCGGGGCUAAAUGCAUUUGUGCUAAGUUAUAGCAUUUUAUAGACAACUUGUUGACUAUGAUUUGUCUUGUAGCUUACUCGCUUAUGUUAUUUUACCUACGCUUAGGAUGUUGAGCGCAUGUCUCUCUCU